rnacentral:rRNA from 1 species
UACGUAGGUGGCAAGCGUUUGUCCGGAUUUAUUGGGUUUAAAGGGUGCGUAGGCGGUCUAUUAAGUCAGUGGUGAAAUAUGGCAGCUUAACUGUCAAGGUGCCAUUGAUACUGAUGGACUUGAGUGAAGUCGAGGUUGGCGGAAUUGACGGUGUAGCGGUGAAAUGCUUAGAUAUCGUCAAGAACACCGAUAGUGAAGACAGCUAACUAGGCUUAUACUGACGCUGAGGCACGAAAGUGUGGGGAUCAAACAGG